rnacentral:tRNA from 1 species
GCGGGGUUAGCCAAGUGGUCAAAGGCGACAGGCUUAGGACCUGUUGGCGAAGGCCUUCGUGGGUUCGAAUCCCACACCCCGCA